UACGUAGGGUGCAAGCGUUGUCCGGAAUUAUUGGGCGUAAAGAGCUCGUAGGCGGUUUGUCGCGUCUGCUGUGAAAACGCGAGGCUCAACCUCGCGCCUGCAGUGGGUACGGGCAGACUAGAGUGCGGUAGGGGAGAUUGGAAUUCCUGGUGUAGCGGUGGAAUGCGCAGAUAUCAGGAGGAACACCGAUGGCGAAGGCAGAUCUCUGGGCCGUAACUGACGCUGAGGAGCGAAAGCGUGGGGAGCAAACCGG
rnacentral:rRNA from 1 species